rnacentral:piRNA from 1 species
UACUCCCUGGUCUGAGGUUAUCGGC